rnacentral:rRNA from 1 species
CCUACGGGGGGCAGCAGUGGGGAAUAUUGGGCAAUGGGCGCAAGCCUGACCCAGCAACGCCGCGUGAAGGAAGAAGGCUUUCGGGUUGUAAACUUCUUUUAAGAGGGAAGAGCAGAAGACGGUACCUCUUGAAUAAGCCACGGCUAACUACGUGCCAGCAGCCGCGGUAAUACGUAGGUGGCAAGCGUUGUACGGAUUUACUGGGUGUAAAGGGCGUGUAGCGGGGCUGACAAGUAAGAUGUGAAAUCCCGUGGCUCAACCACGGAACUGCAUUUGAAACUGUCGGUCUUGAGUAUCAGAGAGGCAGGCGGAAUUCCUAGUGUAGCGGUGAAAUGCGUAGAUAUUAGGAGGAACACCAGUGGCGAAGGCGGCCUGCUGGACGACAACUGACGGUGAGGCGCGAAAGCGUGGGGAGCAAACAGGAUUAGAUACCCUAGUAGUC